rnacentral:rRNA from 1 species
GGGGAAUAUUGCGCAAUGGGGGAAACCCUGACGCAGCAACGCCGCGUGGAGGAAGAAGGUCUUCGGAUUGUAAACUCCUGUCUUCUGGGACGAUAAUGACGGUACCAGAGGAGGAAGCCACGGCUAACUACGUGCCAGCAGCCGCGGUAAUACGUAGGUGGCGAGCGUUGUCCGGAAUUACUGGGCGUAAAGGGCGCGUAGGCGGCUCUUUAAGUCAGAUGUGAAAACCCGAGGCUUAACUUCGGGAGUGCAUUUGAAACUGAAGGGCUUGAGUGCAGGAGAGGUAAGUGGAAUUCCUAGUGUAGCGGUGAAAUGCGUAGAUAUUAGGAGGAACACCAGUGGCGAAGGCGACUUACUGGACUGUAACUGACGCUGAGGCGCGAAAGCGUGGGGAGCAAACAG